AAUGUUACUGACGCGAGUAGCCACCGGAAUUAACUAUUGGGAAAAUGGACGCCGGAGCUGAAACUGAAGUGGAUCAAACGGUGGAUGGAGAUUCUUCGGCGGCAGAAACGGUGGAUCCCUCGCCGUUGAAUCAAGGGGAGAUUCUGAGAACACUUGCUACGGUGGAGAAGGAUUCGAAGGCAAUCGCGGAGAGCUUCUCGUCUCUCUUCGUUUCCCUCCGAUCCACUCUCUCUGAGGCUACAGGAAGCUCUGUUGAUCACAUGACUUGCUUUGGAGAUGCAGCUGGACGCCUUCAGGAAACCGCUCUAGAUGCCUCCACUAAAGGGAACCGCUACAUCAACUCUUGCCUCAGAUUAAACGAGGAAAUUAAAGGCCUUGAGACUCUGGCGCCUCGGUUAAAGCACCUGCGGAGAAAUGUGGAUGUUCUUGACACGGCUGUGAACAAGCUUAUCCGUCCUCCAUGACAAGUCAUUAUUAGCUUUCAUGGACUUGGAUCAAUUAUCUCUCGUAUAUAAAGGUCUAAGUAAGAGCUUGCUGGUUAAACCCUCUAGUCCGAAUCAUGGCGAUUUUUUUCAAUCCGGAGAACGCACUAAAGCGUGCAGAAGAACUUAUCAAAGUUGGGCAGAAACAAGAUGCUCUCCAGGUACUUCACGAUCUCAUUACCUCAAGGAGCUUCAGAUCUUGGCAGAAACCCCACGAGAAGAUUAUGUUUAGAUACGUGGAGCUUUGUGUUGACUUGAAGAUGGGACGGUUCGCUAAAGAUGGAUUGAUCCAAUACCGUAAUUCUUGUCAGCAAGUGAACCUGACUUCCUUUGAAGAAGUAACCAA